rnacentral:lncRNA from 1 species
AUGAGUGGAAGGAAACAGAUGACGCAACCACCAACCAAACCUCAUAAUCUCCUCUACUCUCACCCAUAUCUCCCCACCUCCUCUUAAGGACUCAGCUCGUCUGUCUUUUUGGGGGAAGGCCUGAAAAGAAUGCUGAAAACAAGUGACCUGGCUGGAAUCUACCACCACGCUACUUCUCUGCUCCAGGACCUUCCAUGGCUCCCACUGGCUCACAGGCAAAAGAAGAGAUGAAGCACACAUUGCAAACACGCUUUGAUCCCUGCAGUGAGAUGAGCGUCAUGAUCAUGCAUGCUUCUCUUCUCCCUUCUCCGGGCCUUUUGAAGUCUACACUCUCCGCUGUGGGAUGGUCUCCUGCCCUACCAGGAGAGCUGGUCUCCACACCGACUUCAAAGACAGCUGAUGUUCCAGAGAAGAAAAACACUGCAAAGAAGCACUCCAAAAUCCUUUUGACCUCAAACAUGACUACAGAAUGGAUACAGCUUUUUAAAUAGCCACUUCCUGCAGCAUUCUAUAGUAUAAUGACCCUUAAAUGACACCCACGCAAAUUACAUAAUUUGCUAAAAUGGAAACCCAGUAAUUCCAUCUUACAUCAAAGUAAAGAAAAAAAAUACCAAACUUUAAAAAUCUGAAGCUCAAUUAAAUAGUAAUUAAAAACGAAAUAUAACUUUCACUUGUUCAAUAAUCCUCACAAUGUCCUAAAACUCUACAAAUGGAUGAAGUGAACAUGAUCUCAGAGAACUACCCACUACAUGUUUAGUAGGCUAGAAUAGACAACAACAUAGAAACUCGGAUCCGCUGGAAAUGAUGCUUUUUCUUUGGGCUCUGGUAUCUGAGGUGGCCAGCUCCUCAUCCCUCACGCCCUUCACUGGCACUGACCUGAGUACCUGCUGGAGACUGAAGCGCUCCCUCCUGGGCCAUGUCUCCUCUACCUUCCCCCUUUUCCACUGCCUCAAAGACAGGCCCCCUGGGAGCCCUUCUGGAACCUGAAGGAGGAGCUGGUCACUGUGUCAUGAUCAGCCACAAUGUGCCAUCCCUCCUCCAUAGCACAGCCACAAGUCCCCAGCAGGGGAGGGCACACAUUUUCCAGUCACAGAGAUCUGGAACGAAGCCCAACGACUGCUUAUUAGCUUUGCAGCCUAACUUCUCUGUGCUUCAGUUUCCUCACCUGCUAAAUCACACCUUCAGAGUCAUGGUGAAUAUGAAAGAAGACAGUAUAUUUAGAGCAGCCAGCACAAUGGCCAGCUUUGUAACUGUUUUCUUCCCUGCUAAGAAAAUAGCAAACACAAAGUGUCUGCAGGUGAGUAUAUCACGACUCUAAUCAGCAAGCACAGAAGACGGUGGCAGCACUGUGAAGAGCACCCAGAAAAAACAAAAAGCAGCCAUUCUCUUUAAAUAUGAGAAACAAUUGUAUCAGUCUCUGAUUUCUAAGAAGGAGUACCAUGACUCCAGCCUCUGUUGUCCUAGAUUCUAUGCCCACUUUUGGCUAUUUUUUUUUUCCUACGUUUUUCAGGUUAUCCUCAAUGAGCAUAAAUUAUUUUUACAAUCAGGAAAAACAAUUU